UCUCCUGGGAACGGGUGGUAAUGCCGGAUGCUCCAGUUGAUCGCAUGGUCUUCUGGGAAAGCUUUCGCGGUAUGGGAUGGGGUCGCGUCCUAUCAGCUUGACGGCGGGGUAACGGCCCACCGUGGCUUCGACGGGUAGCCGGCCUGAGAGGGCGACCGGCCACAUUGGGACUGAGAUACGGCCCAGACUCCUACGGGAGGCAGCAGUGGGGAAUAUUGCACAAUGGGCGCAAGCCUGAUGCAGCGACGCCGCGUGAGGGAUGGAGGCCUUCGGGUUGUAAACCUCUUUUAUCGGGGAGCAAGCGAGAGUGAGUUUACCCGUUGAAUAAGCACCGGCUAACUACGUGCCAGCAGCCGCGGUAAUACGUAGGGUGCAAGCGUUAUCCGGAAUUAUUGGGCGUAAAGGGCUCGUAGGCGGUUCGUCGCGUCCGGUGUGAAAGUCCAUCGCUUAACGGUGGAUCCGCGCCGGGUACGGGCGGGCUUGAGUGCGGUAGGGGAGACUGGAAUUCCCGGUGUAACGGUGGAAUGUGUAGAUAUCGGAAAGAACACCA
rnacentral:rRNA from 1 species